GAUGAAGAACGCAGCGAAAUGCGAUAACUAAUGUGAAUUGCAGAAUUCAGUGAAUCAUCGAGUCUUUGAACGCACAUUGCGCCCCCUGGUAUUCCGGGGGGCAUGCCUGUCCGAGCGUCAUUGCUGCCCUCAAGCACGGCUUGUGUGUUGGGCUCCGUCCCCCCGGGGACGGGCCCGAAAGGCAGCGGCGGCACCGAGUCCGGUCCUCGAGCGUAUGGGGCUUUGUCACCCGCUCUGUAGGCCCGGCCGGCGCCAGCCGACAACCCAUCAUCCUUUUCAGGUUGACCUCGGAUCAGGUAGGGAUACCCGCUGAACUUAAGCAUAUCAAUAAGCGGAGA
rnacentral:misc_RNA from 1 species